CAAGCAAAUGGCGAAUAAUUCUUGAAGAGAAGGUGCCUUCAAGUGAGAAUCGGAGAGCUUGAACCUGUCAGAAUUCGGUGCAGUUUUAGCCCAACUCCUCUGCUCCUCAGCUGCUGAAAAUCCUCUGUCACAAAUGGCUUCCAGUUUUCCUUAUAUUUCUAUGUUUGAUUGCAAAGAAUAACUAUAUAACAGGUGAGUUUACCUUGAAGUUGUUCUGGGUCUGGUUAGAUGUAAGGAUGGAACUGGAGCCUUUGGACAGAAGAUUAAAGUGCAGAUAGGAAGAAUAGAGGUGUUUGUGCGUGAAACUAGACUGAGUUCCGUAGGAUCAAGUUCUCUUGUUUUCUCAUUCUCACUAAUAUUCUUUUCUUUAUUUUUCUGAAACUAUCUCGGUAGAAAUCUCAUUACAAUCACAUGAUCCAAGGGAGAAGAAGAAAAGCAAUAAAAUGGUAAAUUUGCUAAUGUACCAUAAGAUUAAGUCUUUAAUUUUUCUCCAUAUAAUUCUAUGAUCAUGACAUGUUUAGAUUUUCACUCUGAAUUUGAUAUGAUUCAUGUACUUUUACUUUUACAGAAAUACUUCUAGAGGGAAAAAAAAAAAAAGGAGUUAUGCCUGCAAUUCACUUUUUUGCAAAAGCUAGAUAAUGAACAGUUUUGUAUCUUUUGCCUAAGAAUUCCGGCCUGACUCCUACCAUGUUUUGAGGUCAAUUGUCUAAAAAAAAAAA
rnacentral:lncRNA from 1 species